AAUGAUCAUUAAGAGAGGACUGACGUCCCGCCAACCUGCCUUAUCCGGUAAGGUGGUAACCUCAUAUGAGGGAUGAGACCUAAGGGUAACCAAAGGAUCAUUG
rnacentral:ncRNA from 10 species